ACGGUGGGGAUUAGUGGCGACCGGGUGAGUAACACGUGGGCAAUCUGCCCUGCACUCUGGGACAAGCCCUGGAAACGGGGUCUAAUACCGGAUACUGAUCCUCGACUGCAUCUGCGGGUUCGAAAGCUCCGACGGUGGCCGAUGAGCCCACGGCCUAUCAGCUAGUUGGUGAGGUAACGGCUCACCAAGGUCACUACAGGUAGCCUUCCUGAGAGGGCGACCGGCCACACAGGGACUGAUACACGGCCCAAACUCCUACCGGAGGCAGCACUGGGGAAUAUUGCACAUUGGGCGAAAGCCUGAUGCACCGACGCCGCCUGAGGGAUGACGGCCUUCGGGUUGUAAACCUCUGUCAGCAGGGAAGAAGCGAAAGUGACGGUACCUGCAGAAGAAGCGCCGGCUAACUACGUGCCAGCAGCCGCGGUAAUACGUAGGGCGCAAGCGUUGUCCGGAAUUAUUGGGCGUAAAGAGCUCGUAGGCGGCUUGUCACGUCGGUUGUGAAAGCCCGGGGCUUAACCCCGGGUCUGCAGUCGAUACGGGCAGGCUAGAGUUCGGUAGGGGAGAUCGGAAUUCCUGGUGUAGCGGUGAAAUGCGCAGAUAUCAGGAGGAACACCGGUGGCGAAGGCGGAUCUCUGGGCCGAUACUGACGCUGAGGAGCGAAAGCGUGGGGAGCGAACAGGAUUAGAUACCCUG
rnacentral:rRNA from 1 species